GGGGAUGUAGCUCAACUGGGAGAGCGUCUGCUUUGCACGCAGAAGGUCGCAGGUUCGAUCCCUGUCAUCUCCACCA
rnacentral:tRNA from 6 species